rnacentral:rRNA from 1 species
GACGAACGCUGGCGGCGUGCCUAACACAUGCAAGUCGAACGGAGAUAUUAAUGAAGCUUGCGAUUUAAUAUCUUAGUGGCGGACGGGUGAGUAACGCGUGGGUAAUCUGCCCAUAAGUGGGGAACAACAGUUGGAAACGACUGCUAAUACCGCAUACGCUACCGCAAGGUAGGAAAGGUGGCCUCUGAAUAUGCUGCCGCUUAUGGAUGAGCCCGCGUCUGAUUAGCUAGUUGGUGGGGUAAAGGCCUACCAAGGCUGCGAUCAGUAGCCGGCCUGAGAGGGUGAACGGCCACACUGGGACUGAGACACGGCCCAGACUCCUACGGGAGGCAG